rnacentral:rRNA from 1 species
AGUGAACGCUGGCGGCAUGCCUAACACAUGCAAGUCGAACGAAUGAAUCUGGUUCGCCAGGUUCGUGAGUGGCAGACGGGUGAGUAAUACAUAGGAAUCUGCCUUGUAGUGGGGAAUAACUGUUGGAAGCAACAGCUAAUACCCCAUAUUGCCGAGAGGUGAAAGAUUUAUCGCUACAAGAUGAGCCUAUGCAAGAUUAGCUAGUUGGUGGGGUAAAGGCCUACCAAGGCUGUGAUCUUUAGUUGGUCUG